ensembl:lncRNA
GCACCUUCUCUCUUCAGUCACACCUCAGGUCUUCUCUCUUCCUGCUGAAUUCUGAGGAAGGAGACUAGGCCUUGUUCACAAGGAAAUAUAAUGCAAGCUGCACCUUGAGGAGAAUUGAACAAAGAGGGAGAGAUCUAGUCGUUCGCUCUGGGAGUAUGUAUUGAGGAUUUAUGACGUGCCAGUUCCUGUUCUGGAAAGCUUCCUGGAGUGGGCGAUGUUUGACAUGGACCUUAAAAGGCCCGUCAGGAAUACAUAUAAAUUAGGAUUUAAAAGAUCCAGGGGCAAUUCAGUGAAGAAAAUGUAUUAUUUAGUGUAUGGGAUUUGAAACAUCUGUUUUGACCAGAAGUAGAAUAAUUCAUCUAAAAUCAAGGUGCUACUUAAUAUCUUCUUGAAGGAUUUGGGGGAAAUUUCGCUGUAGUGUGGAUCAGUUUUGUUUCCAUCAGAGCUGUUCCCCCUCAACCCAUUCCAGUAGAUUUAUCAGUUCAGUUCUGCUCCGCUGAGGGUCAGUUUUGCGUGUGAUUCAUGUUGCAGACGCUGAGCACUUAACAAAUACUUGAAACACACUCGAAAUGUUCAUUUGAUUGAGCCACUUAAUAAAUCCGUGAAUUGAAAGAAGUCCUAAAGCAACAGUCUAUAUUGAAAAUCUGUUGGAAGAGAGAAACCUGCCGUACCUAUAACUCAUAAAAUUCUUGAUAUCCAAAACCUGUACAACCGCUUAAUCUUGAAGUGAAUCAGCGCUCCUUCCCCAAAAUCAUAGACCCAACGUACUAAAAGGAAAUAGAGCACUUUCAUCUUUGUCGGGUUACGGAGCAGUGUUGAGGUCAUGCAACUGCAACUAAAAUGAUUUACCAAGUCGCAGGUCGAACUGCAUGAAACUAAAAUCUUACACUGGACAGAGAAAACUUCAGAGAAAUACUCAAAAACCCCUAAAACAUCUCAUCCAAUAUGCAUCUCUGUAAUCUUACAAAGUGUUUUAAAAAGUAACUUUUUUGUACAUUGGGAAAUACCAGCAAAUUGACCAUUCGCGGAACUAGUCUUGGCAAAUUGAUUUUCAGAGAAGUGGCUUUCAGAGAACUGAGCUUGCCUGAUGUGACCUUAAGACGCCUUGGCAACUUGGCCACCUCUCGUGCGCUCGCCAGGUCUCCUCAGUGUCCUAGAUUAGGGUAGGGCCGCCUCAUGGACCCUGCCGGGAGAGUGUCACCUGGGCUCCACCCACAAAGGUCUUCAAGAUGAUGGAGUCAAUGCUGAAGCCAUUUCUGUGUAUCUCCUGCAGAGCAUCAGGUGUAAGGAGAAUGUCACUGCAACUCAGAGUUUCCAGCCUCCAGAAGACAGUCCCCACUGUGGGUCCUGACCAACCCUCUCCACCAGACCCCUCCCAGAGCUGUUCCUCCUGGGGCGGAGCCGGCCGCCCAUGAAUCUCUGCUUGAAAGAAGCUCUGAAGGUGAUACGAGGCACUGCUGGGCAGGCGCCCUCUGAACACUCAAGUUCUGUUCCAGGUCCUUCUUUCAUUCCAGACCUGGAGUGAGUCACUUCCUCUCCCAGACCCUCAGAUUCCCUUUUUGUGCUGCUGGCACCACAGAUGAAAAGAAGUUUCUGCUGCUUUCUUGCAUUGCGGCCCCACCAAGCCCUUUGCAGGAACAGUUCCCCAGUGAUAAGCCUCCAAGGCACCAUCUCUAGUACCAGCCAGAUCGCCCACCUCCCCAGCUGCCAGGGGCUCCAUCUCCCACCCUCUGUAAGUCCUCAUCUUCCAGGUAUUGCAUGCAUUGUUCUGAAUAUAACGUAUUAUAGACACAAAAAUAUGAAGGAUGAAAUAUGUAGCGUCCAUGUAGC